rnacentral:lncRNA from 1 species
UCACCUCAAGAAACUUCACCCAUGGCUUCCGGUUCUUGGACGCUCGAGAUCGAGUCCUCCGUCGAGGCAUCUCGACUGUUCAGGGCCGCCGCCCUCGACUGGCACUCCUUGGCUCCUAAGGUCGUGCCGGAGAUCGUCGUCAGCGGCGCCGUCCUCGAAGGCGACGGCUCUGUUGGAUCCGUAAGGCAGCUCAACUUCUCACCAGGUACGACCCACUACGAGAAAGCUUGAGUGACACGGUACGGUACAUGCAUGGUGACACGUACGUUAUCGUAUUGACUGCAGCACUACCAUUCGGCUACGUGAAGGAGCGGCUGGACUUUGUGGACGUUGACAAGUUCGAGUGCAAGCAGACCCUCUUCGAAGGGGGCCACAUCGGGACGAAGCUGGAGAUAGCGACGAGCCAUUUCAAGUUCGAGCCGGCCUCCGGCGGAGGAUGUGUGCUGACGGUGGUGACCACCUACAAACUCCUGCCUGGAGUUGAGGACGACCAGAGCGAGAUAGUGAGGUCUAAGGAGACUGUGACGGGAAUCAUCAAGGCCGCAGAAGCUUACCUCGUCGCCAAUCCUGAUGCCUAUGUGUAGAUCGAUCGAGCAUCUAUCGAGUUUGCGUGAGAUUUCCUUUGUGUUCUCUGCAUAAGUUGCAUCAGUGUGCUUUCCUUGUCUCCUAAACAAUAAUCGAUUGCGAGCCAAUAAACAAUCAC